rnacentral:lncRNA from 1 species
CUGAGCACGGAUCAGGGGCUGAGGCGGAUCAGACAGUAGCACAUUAUCUUAUCGUCAGCAGCUCGAGGAUGGGAGGCGCGGGAGGGGGUGACAAGCAAGAUGUUACUAGACACAGAGACAAGGAAAGCCAGCAUCCUAGCCUCACUACAGGCUCUGGGGGAGGAUUCUGCAAAUGGGAGAAAAAGGAAGAAUCACAGAAGAAAGCUCAUCUCUGGUCCGAGUCCUACUAUGUGUGGCUGCCUUCCCCCAGGGAAACUUCUGCAUGGAUCCAAAUCUGAUAGAAUCUUCCAAAGGGGAAAUCUCACAGGAUCACUGGCUCUGGAAAGGGUGAGACUGACAAAAGCAAAGCUGGGGAAAAGGUUCCAAAUUCCUAAAGGCAAAGGAGACAGCAGAUGGGCACUUUCCCAAUCUCUACAGGAGAUCAUGUCCUCUGCCCAGGAAGACCAGGCAUGCUUUCAGCCAAAUCUUCUGUUCAGAUUUCAGAAAGCUGCUAAAAGCAUUGUUAUGCUUUGCUUACUUUACAGAGAGCACCACCUACUAGCCAACCUCAACUAUGGGAUUGAGAGAGUCAAGAGAUGGAAAUCCCAAUCAAACUACAUGGAACAGUCUAAGGAAGAGAUCCUCUUUGAUGUGACACUGUUCAGGGCUAAAAAACAGUCAAGGAUCUCUGAGCGUGCCAUACAUAUUCUUCAUCAGUGUCCUCAGGAGCGAAGUGAGAAGGACAUCAGCUACAUAUUAAUCACCCUGCAGCCCGUGAAGGCCUUUGGAAAUUACUCCACAAUGAUUCAGAAGAAGGUGGCAAAGGCUGGAUGGUAUUCAAGGGAAUCUGUCCUUUCUAGGUAUGAAUCCUGCCAAGUGAUGAUCCAACAGGGCUACGCACCACACUCCUUCUAUAUCUGUCUCUCAGGAUCUGCAACAGUUAUCAAGAGGAACAAUGACAGUGGCCAAGUAAAGCCUGCCUGGUUCUUUAGUCGAGGGGAUGCAUUUGGGGAUAGAGAGAUUAUAAAUGGUGACUACUGGCAGACAACUGUUAUUAUUCAGGAACCAGCUGAGUUUCUCUGUAUUGACCGAG